rnacentral:lncRNA from 1 species
GACUGGUGUGCAUAACUGUGAUGACAGCAUUUCUAGCUGAGCCGGGUCAUUUUGUCCUUGGGUCCUCCAGGGAGGACUCGGCCCAAUUGCUAACGCAAAGAACUAGGUGCUAUCACAAAGCCUCCCCCAAGGCCCCAAAUCCACACUAGAAUACAACCUCCUUCCUAGGAGGAGCACAGGCGAGGGAGGGCCGGCUCUAUGGUCCUGCAUGAAGGUACAAGAGGCGAGGGUUGGAGGUGUGUGACUCACACAGGCUGGUCAGAGGCCCCGGAGUUCAGCCUCUGUCGGGUAUUUACCUACCCAUCACCAGCCGCUGACUACGUGCUCACUGUGUACCAGGGACCUGGCCAAGGGCUUCACGUGUAAUCUCAUUUAAUUCUCACAAGAGAUGCAGAGAGGUGACGUGACUCAUCAGGUGACAUGACUCACCAGGUCACCUAGCUGGUAAGGGAUGGAACUGGGUUGUGCAUAGAGGCCUAUCUGUGUCCACAGGCAGGCUCCCAGCCACCACCCUCCAGUUCCGUGGCCCUGCUCUGGGACGUGGGAAGAUAAGAAAGAAGAAGGGUGAGUCGGUAUGGUCGUGGAGAGAUUACAUUUUCAGGAAAUGAGGGCUCAGAACAAGGCCUGGCCUAAACAUGGCUGCAGGAGUGGCAAGAGAUAGGAUCAGAGGGAGGAUGGCCUCAGAGAGUGUGGGGAAGAACUUGUGCCCAGAAGAGUCAGGGCAGGACUGGCUGGGCCCUGACGUAAGGCCUCUUGCUCAGAGUCACAGGCAAGAUCAAGUGACCUCUCGAGGUUUCAAGACACGAAGAGACAAAGCCCAGAGCAGCUGCGGCCUGGUCCAGGCCCGGGCAUGCCUGCUGACCCCGGCUGGAUGGUGGCCUUGGAAACUGCUUCCUGCUUCAGUCAGGCCCUAGCCGCGUAACCUUGGAGGACCUGUGACAUUUCUCUUGGCCUCAGGCUCCAGGACUCAGCUGCUCCUCGUUGUCCCACCUACUGGUCCCACCUACUUUGCUCUCUCCCAGGCCUGGCUGUGGACCUGGCCCCUCCCAGGUCAGGAUCUCUCUAGUCCAAGAACUUGGAGCACUGUUGCCCUCACAGGGAGGACAGUGGGUGACACCCUCACAAACGAGAAAAGGGGCUCAGACUCUGGAACCUCCAAGUCCAAUUUCCAACAGUGUGGUUGGGCCGUGGCUCCUGGCACCCACUUGGAGAUGCCCACCAGAAGCCCCCUCCCUCCCUCCCUUACUGAGGGUCAGGCUAGCCGAGCCUUCCCCGCCCUGGAGACCUCCCAGCUGGGGCCUGAGGGUGUGAUCUUGGCAGAAGAGAAAAACCUCCUCUCCGGUGGUGGCUUCUGUUCAACCCACCCGUGAAGACCUCUGGGCACGUCCUCCUGCCAGGCCUCCUGAGGCUGGCCACUGCUCUCUUUUGCAGCCUCCAGGAUCUGAGGGAAACAGCUGGCUCCCCUCCUCACCACACCCCGGCGGCCAUUCUCUUGGACCCCUCCCAAGGGUACCACCUAGCCCUGGUCUGUGGACAAAGUCAAAGGGGUACUUCUGUCUGCCUGUCUGCUGUUGGGUCAGUGUGUCUGAGCUUGCCCAUAGGGACACCAGCUGGUUGGGAGGGGGCUGGGGGCCCCAACCUGCUGUGCACAGUGCCGGGAAGCGCCAGCCCACAUCCUUGAGUCCCCAGCCCCACCCUCCCCGGCUGUGGCUGUGACCACCCCACCCCUUCCCCAGCCCUCCUUCCCCUCCCCCACCCACUGCCUCCCCAGGGGAGCCAGGCUGCCAGCCCCAGCUCUCACUUCCGGCCUCAUGACCCUCUCUCCAGCUUGCACACUCCUCCUCCCCCACCAUUUCCCUCCCAGCCUGGUUCGAAGGCCCUGGGAUGUCCUCAAAUGGAAAACACUGCAUCAAAGGGGCCAUUACUGCUGCUCUGAGACCUUCCCAUCACCUCCCUUUUCCUCCAGGGGCCUUAUCUCUCAGGAUCUGUCCCUCAGGGACUAGUCAUCACCUCUGUCCACCUCCUUCCCUUCAGCCGCCUACCUGCCCACACAGUAACACCUGAAUAUCUUCUUUCAACCUGAUCCCAGGCACAAUAUCAUAAUACAAAUAACAAUGAUGGCAAUAAUAAUGGCAGCUGUCACUCAUUUGGCAUCAUUUAAAUAGAGGCACAGAGAGGUUAAGUUAUGCCCUUAAGAACAAACAGCCAUCUCAUUCAAUUAAGCUGGUGUCUGAAUUUAGGUUGGGCUUCUGUAAAUCAAACUUCUUUGGUGUCCAGAGAUUCAGCGCCCUCCCCUGCAGCCUCCUACAACGGUCCUAGUCCCAACCAUCAGUUCUAAUUUUUGACUUCUAAUCUAUCCUCCUCUCAGCUUCUAGUCACCACCUCCCACCAACAGCCAUCCAACUAGAUGCACUACUCUCCCUCGCCACUAGGUGUCCCCUUGGAGCCACUGAUGCCCCCAAGGGGAGCUGGCCCUGCCCCGCCCCCUGGGGCCAUCAGGGCCCCCCCACAGCACAGCACAGCAGUGCACACCCCACCCCACCCUACCCCCAGCCACACAGAGCUCCUUUGUGCAACCCUCGCCCACCCCCUUCCUCCCUGGAACAGGGCACCUGGCAAGCAGGUCUGCCCCAGAACCGCCCCCUGCCAGCCCCCUGCCCUGGGUGCCAGGUGUGUGGGCGCCACCGCCAGCUCUGGCUGGACCCGAGGGUCACCCUGCCGGCGGCCCUCCCUUCCUCCCUCCGAGGUCACCCAGGGACUAAGCUUCCCGCCCUGCUCCGCCCCCCUCCCCUCCUGCCCUUGGCCCUUCCAGACUCCCGUCCUUGUCUUUCCUUCUGUCUCCCGGAGGACUCCCCUCCUCCAGCCCCACUAGGCCUUCCCUGCAGCCUCUCACCCCCGCCCACCUCCUUCCCCAGAGAGCUCCUUGUUCCACGCCCCCCCGCUCCCCGCCCAGGUCUGAAGAACUCCUCCUCCUGGAAAGUUGCUGCUGGAAAGGAAGUGACUUCAGCAAUUUGGCCACAAGGCUGGGCACUGCUGAGCCCAGCUCAGCUCAAGGCUUGCCCAACCCACCUCCAAAGCACAAAUGGAGCCACAUGUGCACAUCACUCCCACUGUGCACCCAGAACCCUGAGCACACACUUAGCCAGUGUACACACAGAUCCCCGUGUGCAUACACCGUACCAUCGCAGUGUAUUCAGAUCUUGUCUAUACACACAUCUCUCCAGUGUACACUAGCACCCUUGCACACAUGACAUCCAGUGUGGCACACACAGUAUCCCCACACCUGCCCAGUACACACCCAGAAUCCUGCAUAUUCAUACUUCCGGGUACCACAUACACAGCCCUUGAACGCUCCCCAGCCCAGUCCACUUACACAACUCUUGUAUAUUACCCCAUGUGCACGGAAGGACAGAGCCUUCCACACACACCUGCUUGCACACAAGCUUGAGUGCCCUGUACAUUUACAUUCGGAUACACACAGCCUCGCAUCCUCCCACAGCUGUACCUCCCCACCCUUACAAUCCCAGGAGACUCCACCCCCAGACCUCAGGCCCCAGGAAUGCUCCUUUGGAAGUAGGGUGGGGUCCCCAGGCAGGCUCAGCUCUAGGGAGCUUCCUGGAGCCGCAGGCUUCAUGUGUCAGUUCAGGGAGUUGCCUCUGCAGGGCAGGGCAGCUUCACCUGGCUCUGCAGCUCCUGAGCCUGGGUGGGCUAACCUGGGCCAGGAGUAGGGAGGUGGGUCCUGCCACUGCCCCCGCCCCCUCCCUGUCCUGCAAGGGCACCUUAGCAUACCUGGGCUACCCAGGCCCUCCCAGCACC